rnacentral:sRNA from 1 species
GCUGGGCAUGGUGGUGCACACUUGUAAUCCCAGUGACUUGGGAGGUUGAGGCAGGAGGAUCACAAGUUUGAGGCCAACCUCAGCAACUUAGGGAGACCCUGUCUCAA